GAUAAACGCUGGCGGCGUGCCUAAUGCAUGCAAGUCGAACGGGUAGUUCUCGCAAGAGAAUUACUAGUGGCAAACGGGUGAGUAACACGUGGGGAUCUGCCCAGUAGUGGGGAACAACUCCGAGAAAUCGGAGCUAAUACCGCAUACGGUCUGUUGUGAAAGCAACGAGACUAAAGCCCUUCGCGGGGUGCUAUUGGAGGAACCUGCGGCUGAUUAGCUAGUUGGUGGGGUAAAGGCCUACCAAGGCGAUGAUCAGUAGCUGGUCUGAGAGGAUGGACAGCCACACUGGGACUGAGAUACGGCCCAGACUCCUACGGGAGCAGCAGCAAGGAAUUUUCGUCAAUGGGGGAAACCCUGAACGAGCAACGCCGCGUGGGCGAAGAAGUCUUUC
rnacentral:rRNA from 1 species